UGCGAGAUAUACACAUCGAGCAGAUACGAAAGUAGGCCCUAGUGAUCCGGUAGUCCCGUGUGGAAGGGCUAUCGCUCAUCGGACAAAAGGUACUCCGGGGAUAACAGGCUGAUCGCCUCCGAGCGUCCAUAGCGGCGUGGAGGUUUGGCACCUCGAUGUCGGCCCAUCGCAUCCUGGGGCUGAAGGCGGUCCCAAGGGUUCGGCUGUUCGCCGAUUAAAGCGGUACGCGAGCUGGGUUCAGACCGACGUGAGUCAGGUCGGUCCCUAUCUGCCGUGGGCGCACCAAACUUGACGGGAGACAACCUUAGUACGAGAGGAUUGGGUUGUAGGUACCUCUAGUGCACCUGUUGUUCUGCUAAGAGCACCGCAGGGUAGCCAAGUACCGAAAGGAUAAACGCUGAAUGCAUCUAAGCGUGAAGCCCCCCCGAAGAUAACGUUUGGAUGUCCGCUUUGCGGACGAGAGACCCCUCGAAGACGACGAGGUUGAUAGGCCGGAGGUGUAAGCCCAGGAAUGGGUUGAGCUUACCGGUACUAAUCGGCCGUGCGGCUUGACCAU
rnacentral:rRNA from 1 species